rnacentral:rRNA from 1 species
GUGGGGAAUCUUCCGCAAUGGACGAAAGUCUGACGGAGCAACGCCGCGUGAGUGAAGAAGGUUUUCGGAUCGUAAAGCUCUUUCGUUAGGGACGAACGUGCUCUUUGUGAAUAAUGAGGAGUAAUGACGGUACCUAAAUAAGAAGCCACGGCUAACUACGUGCCAGCAGCCGCGGUAAUACGUAGGUGGCAAGCGUUGUCCGGAAUUAUUGGGCGUAAAGCGCGCGCAGGCAGGAUAUCAAGUCUGUAUUAAAAGUGCGAGGCUCAACCUCGUGAGGGGACAGAAACUGGUAUUCUUGAGUGUCGGAGAGGAAAGUGGAAUUCCAAGUGUAGCGGUGAAAUGCGUAGAGAUUUGGAAGAACACCAGUGGCGAAGGCGACUUUCUGGACGAUGUCUGACGCUGAGGCGCGAAAGCUAGGGGAGCGAACGGGAUUAGAAACCCCGGUAGUCC